GCUUGUCUCAAAGAUUAAGCCAUGCAUGUCCAAGUAUAAGCAACUAUACCGUGAAACUGCGAAUGGCUCAUUAAAUCAGUUAUCGUUUAUUUGAUAGUACCUCGCUACAUGGAUAACCGUGGUAAUUCUAGAGCUAAUACAUGCCAAAAGCCCCGACUUCGGGAGGGGCGUAUUUAUUAGAUACAGAACCAACGCCCUUCGGGGCUCGAUGGUGAUUCAUGAUAACUGCCCGAAUCGCAUGGCCUUGCGCCGGCGAUGGUUCAUUCAAAUUUCUGCCCUAUCAACUGUCGAUGGUAGGAUAGUGGCCUACCAUGGUUGCAACGGGUAACGGGGAAUUAGGGUUCUAUUCCGGAGAGGGAGCCUGAGAAACGGCUACCACAUCCAAGGAAGGCAGCAGG
rnacentral:rRNA from 1 species